GUCAUCAGUUCUUAAUCAUCUGAACUGCACUACAGCUCAAGCGACUUCAGUGAAUCGAGCGUUCCGUCCUUUUCAUUCGAUUCUCCAAGAUUAAUUUCUUUGAAAACUAUUGUGAAUAUCGCAAAACGCGCAAGAAUCAUUGGCAUACGAUUCGCUCGUCCGAGAACGGCAGUUAUCCCUGAUAGCCAAAUAUGAUUGAGCAUUUUGAGUAAACUUAUGCACAACAGGAAUAAAAAUCAGCUGAAAGGAUCUACAAAGUUUUUCAGCUCCUAUGGUGGUGAGGAUCAAAUUCAAGGUUUAUUCACUACUCUAGCUCAGUCAAAAUGAGUAUAGAUUUCGAUGCAUCUUAUACCGGACUGCUACUUGAUGAUUGGAUAGGUCAUCUACAGGAAGUGUUGAAGGAUGAACAAUCCAUUGAUAAAAAUGGCAUGGCCUUAAAAUUUCAAAUGAUCCAACAAUCCAUGGUCGAGGCAGCUUUUAAAAUAGGAGAACUUAUGGAAGUAUCAUCCCAAGCAAAAUAUAUGGCCAUUAUUUUAUAUGACGAUUAUAUGCACAAACAUUUCCGACAACGUUUUGAGACGGAAAUUACUACCAAUAAUCAACUAGAUCAACAAUUUGAUAAAAUUAGCAAUAGCAUGGCCAGUAAAGCAAAAUUAUCUCUCAUGUCAUGCUUCCAAUUAGCUUGUAAAAUGGAGUCUGCUUACGCUAAAUUACCAAUAUCGGAGGUUAUAGACAUCCUAAAUACCUUUGACAAAAACACUACGUACACACGUGAGAUGAUAAUUGCUUCUGAAUUCGAAGUUUUUGAAGCUGUGGGAUUCAAGAUACCCCUCAAGACACCAUUAAGUUGCGUUGAGCUUCUAUUAGCAGCAGUAAACUGCAAUACACCAGAAGACUAUGAACUUGGACAGAUAUUACUGGACAUAGCCUUUUUACAGGUACGAUUUCAAUAUAUUUCCUAUAAUUACCUCUCAAAAAAGAAAAUGAAAAUACACGCUAAGUAUACUCUAUAUGGAAUAUUUGACACACAACAUGUAUAUCCGCUUGUAUGCAGGUAAAGCUUUUCGAACAAAAUAAUAAAGUUCUUUUUCUUUUUUUCUUACUAUAGAGUUCAUCCUACCGUUUCCGAUGCUCAUAUUUUUUUUAUUUUUUAAUAACUAUUGCGAAAUUUGCAAAGUGGUAUAUGAAUACUGAAGUGGUACAUGAAUCUGUUCGAUUUAGUUUUCGCUAUAUACACGCAAAUAAUGUGUGUUUUCACUUUGUAUCAUAAUUUUGAACAGUAAUUUCUUUGCAGUAGAAUAUUUAUGCUCACAAGACGUACAAAAUAAAAAGGAAAAUAAUUGUCUAACUUAAUGGUUAAAAUUAUUAUUAUUUUUGGAGCGAUUUUCAAAGACUAUUUUUGCUUUAAAACUGCUCAUCCAUAUGGAGUCUCAGGAGUGGCAUGUUAUUUCUAUACAUUAUCAAUAUAUUUAUAUUAUUAUAGUUGCAGCACACACACAUACACAUGACAAUAGGUUUCCUUAUCAUUUAUAAAAUAACACGGACUUAAAGUCCGUGUAAAACAUAACUUUGUGGGUAGAUCUGUCGUUUUCUUUUAGUUGCUUAGUGGGGACUAGUAGCGAAUGAAACACAUACAUUGGUCAUCAAUAAAUGAGAACAGAAUAACGUGUAAUGAUGUGCAUACGGCAAAAUAAAUACAUAUUAAUUAACUUAGGUUAACUUACCUUAUUAUCUUACCUUAUUACCUUAUUACCUUAUUAGUUAACUUAGGUUAACUUACCUUAUUACCUUAUUAUAAUAAACUACUUAUUUUACAGAACUAUUUAUUUUACAGAAUUUCUCCUUCACAAUACAAGUGCUUUCUUUCCCUUAUGCUACGCAUUCCCCUCAUUUGGUUUCAUCCCCACUAUUCAUACUCUAGAGUAGGACCUAUCUAAAGGCUAUGUCUGUAUCGUAGAUGUCAUCACGUUGCCUCCUACGGCAAGGACUCAUAGAACCUGUCCUACCGCUUCUCGUGAGCUUAUUCGUUUAUAAAUUUUAAUUAAUUGCGGAAUAAAUAUUGAGAAAAUUUCAAAAUGUACGAAAAAUUGUACACUCAGUUUCGAG